rnacentral:tRNA from 4 species
CCUGUAGCUCAGCCGGAUAGAGCAACGGCCUUCUAAGCCGUGGGUCGGGGGUUCGAAUCCCUUCGGG